UUUUAUGGAGAGUUUGAUCCUGGCUCAGAGUGAACGCUGGCGGCGUGCCUAAUACAUGCAAGUCGAACGAUGAAGCUUCUAGCUUGCUAGAAGUGGAUUAGUGGCGCACGGGUGAGUAAGAUAUAGUUAAUCUGCCCUACACAAGAGGACAACAGUUGGAAACGACUGCUAAUACUCUAUACUCCUGCUUAACACAAGUUGAGUAGGGAAAGUUUUUCGGUGUAGGAUGAGACUAUAUAGUAUCAGCUAGUUGGUAAGGUAAUGGCUUACCAAGGCUAUGACGCUUAACUGGUCUGAGAGGAUGAUCAGUCACACUGGAACUGAGACACGGUCCAGACUCCUACGGGAGGCAGCAGUAGGGAAUAUUGCGCAAUGGGGGAAACCCUGACGCAGC
rnacentral:rRNA from 1 species